GUCCACGCUGUAAACGAUGGGUACUAGGUGUUCGGGUAUUGACCCCUGAGUGCCGCAGCUAACGCAUUAAGUACCCCGCCUGGGGACUACGGCCGCAAGGUUAAACUCAAAGGAAUUGACGGGGCCCGCACAAGCGGUGGAGCAUGCUGUUCAAUUCGACGCAACGCGAAGAACCUUACCUGGGCUAGACAACGGCGGACAGCCCGAGAAAUCGGGUCUUCUCUUCGGAGACCGCCGGUUCAGGUGUUGCAUGGCUGUCGU
rnacentral:rRNA from 1 species